GAAAAGAACUUUGAAGAAAGAGUUCAAGAGAACGUGAAACUAUCACGAGGUUAAAGCGGAUGUACAUACGUAGCCGACCGGGUGGGCUCAUCCGCUCGAGCCUCCAGUGGUCGUCGCGUUCGGACCGUCGUCAUUCCCUGGAAUCCCUUUAGGGGGAGGACACAGUGGCGUCGGCCGUCGCGGCGGCGAACUAGAGGAGAGCGUGGUGCACUCCCCUCCCCAGUAGGCAGUCGCGGCCGUUCGAGAGUUGUCUAAGGCUUGGAAGUUGGGAACCGUCCGGCGUUUUACGCGUCGGCGGGGACUCUUCCUCGAUUCUGGCGGACUCACGGACGGUCUCUGAAAAAUGAUGACGUUGCGGAAAGAAACUCCCUCGUCGUACGCGGCUGUAAGGCGAGCGUUCAUCCGUCCCGUCUUGAAACACGGACCAAGGAGUCUAACAUGUACGCGAGUCAACGGGUUGGCUAAACCCCUAGGCGUAACGAAAGUAAAAAAGAAGCUUCUAAAGCUUCGUUGGGUCGAUCCGUGCUCUCUAACGAGACCGGCGCAGACCCGGGGCUCGCCGCUACCUCUUCGAGACGCAAGUNNNGNNNCGGGCGGCGGGCACCUUGAGCGUACAUGCUAGUACCCGAAAGAUGGUGAUCUAUGCCUGGCCAGGAUGAAGCCAGAGGAAACUCUGGUGGAGGUCCGUAGCGAUUCUGACGUGCAAAUCGAUCGUCGNAGCUGGGUANANGNGCGAAAGNCCA
rnacentral:rRNA from 1 species